GCACCCCUGAGGUAGAGGGUACGAGACACAACCCUAAUACCUAAUCCUAUAAUUUUUUGUUUCCUCACCGUCUUCUUUUCUUGUUCUCUCUAGCCCUAACCUUGAUCUCACAUAUUCUAUAAUUCAACUGGUAAGAGGAUAAAACUUAUCAUCUCUUUCGCACAAUCUCACUUUCUCCGUUUUCAUUUGUUUCUCCCCUAAUUCUUGAGCCUCAGUCCUCGUGAAGAUCCAAGGGAUUCGAGUUCGGAAUCACUGAGCCCUGGAUCUAGAAGAAGAUAAGAGGGAUUCGAGUUGUUCUUUCUAACAAACAUGAAUGCUUCAUCCUCUCAAACAAAGGAACGGAAAAAUGACAUCCCAUUUCUUCCCGAGGACAUCAUUUUUCACAUUCUUAUUUGCCUUCCUGCUGAGUUUGAGAUUUUGCAUUACUGUGGGAAAUUUGUGUGCAAGGCUUGGGCCAAAAUUAUAUCUAAUCCUUCUUUUAUCAAGGCACACCUCCUUCAGUCAAAGGAUGGCUUGUUCGUCCAAAAAUUUGGUAAGCCAUAUCAUUCAUCUUUCCUUGAGUUUAAUGAGGGAGAAUUCAGAACAACACACCUAAAUUGUCAUGGACAUAUGGUCUCUAGUUGUUGUGGCUUAUCGCUGUUUUUGGGCUCAAUCCUGAGAGAUUUCUUUUUGUUGGGAAUCAUGUGACACAAAAGUAUAAGAACUUACCUUUUCGUAUUGCGAAAGGUCAUCUUUUGCUCUCUUGUCAUAUUGGUUACAUUUCUCGCACUGAGGAGUACAAGGUGGUUUGCCAUUGUGAAAUAUCAGGUGGAGAAUAUAGAUGGUUUGUAUUGUCUGUGGAUAAUAAUAACAUGUCAUGGAGAAGAAUGGAGACUUCACUAAAAGGAAUCAGUUUUUAUUGUGAUGACAGAGCUUCAGUGUCUGUUGGAGGCGCUAUUUAUUACUCUCAAAUGAACAGUCAUAUUUUUGCUCUUGACCUUUAUGAUGAAACUUCUCACACCAUUAAAGUUCCAAAUGAAUUUGUUGGGAGUUGUUAUAGUCUUCUUGAGCUGGGGAAUAGUUUAUCUUGCAUUGUGAGACAUUCGGCAGAGAUUCAUGUAUGUGUAUUAAAGGACUUACGUUGCAAUGAAUGGGAUAAACUUUACAAGAUUGGAGAAGCAAUAGAUGGACCAAAUUUUUCAUGUGAGAGUUUCAUACCUGUUGGUUGGCUGGGUGAUGGCCAACUCUUGGUCUUCAUUCACUUUGAAAAGUUGGUUGUGUGACUUACAAUGUGAAAACAGGAGAGGCAAGAUCCUUCGAUGUUUUCAACUCUGAUUUAAUACGGAAACACACCAACAGCCUUGUUUCAUGGAAUCAUUUAGAAGGCAAGGACAGGAGAGGAGGAGUCUCGUCAACAUAAAAUGUUGGUAGAAGCUGAGCUGCAACAUUUGGAGUUUGAAUUCUAUUUAUUUGCAUGAGGCCAGAGUUUAUAAAAGAUUAUGUAUACUAGCUUGGGGGUAACUUGCAUUGAACCAUUAUCAGUGUCCAAGUUGUUUGUAUAAUUUUCUUGCAGUUUAUUUUUUUGUUUUUGUAUUUUUGCAACAGUUUGUUAUAAAUAAGGCUUGGAAGUUGAUUAGGAAAAUAGCAAGGGAUGAAUGAAGUUUGGGCAGGGUAUUGGCCCUAACAGUUGAAGACUAACUGGUUGGUAACAUUAAAGUGUCUUUGGUUUUGUGUGUGGUAGUUUACUUUUGUUUCUGUUGUGUGUUACCUAGUUCAUAAAACAAUUCUGUAGAUUUAUGGAGUUACCUUUUGCCCCGUGUAUGCAAUACAUUGAUGAACAUAGCAUUUGUGGGU